rnacentral:lncRNA from 1 species
UCAGAGAAGCCAGGUCUGUGUAACUCCAGAGACUGAGUUCUUUGUCCCAAACCUGCUGCCCCAGAGUAUGAAGCCUUGUUCCCUAGAGACACCUUGUGUAUACUGGCAGUUUUGAGGGCCAGGGUGGUAUUUGGUUUUGUGGACAAAGUCUGGGCAGCCUCAAAGGUGCAGUAGCCAUGCUAGUCUUACUAGUGACAGGCGACUGAGUCAGUCUUCUCUCUGGAACCUGGGACAUUUCAGAGUCAUUGAAUCCCUACAUCAACUUAUUCCCUUCUUUUAUCAUGAAACCAGGAAUUGGGGGUGGGAACUUAAAAUAUAAUGGCAUACCCUAGCAUGUGUCAGGCAAUGGGCCAGGCAGUCUGCAUGAGUCCUUCCAUUCAAACCUCUUUCUUUCUAGGAGUCAGUUUUUGUUAUCAUCCCCAUUUUACAGGGCAGCAUGCCAACAAGGAGCUUAAGAUUCUUGCUCAAGACAAGUGGAG